rnacentral:rRNA from 1 species
GACGAACGCUGGCGGCGUGCCUAAUACAUGCAAGUAGAACGCUGAAGGAGGAGCUUACUUCUCUGGAUGAGUUGCGAACGGGUGAGUAACGCGUAGGUAACCUGCCUGGUAGCGGGGGAUAACUAUUGGAAACGAUAGCUAAUACCGCAUAAGAGUAGAUGUUGCAUGACAUUUACUUAAAAGGUGCAAUUGCACCACUACCAGAUGGACCUGCGUUGUAUUAGCUAGUUGGUGGGGUAACGGCUUACCAAGGCGACGAUACAUAGCCGACCUGGGAGGGUGAGCGGCCACACUGGGACUGAGGCACGGCCCAGACUCCUACGGGAGGCAGCAGUAGGGAAUCGUCGGCAAUGGACGGAAGUCUGACCGAGCAACGCCGCGUGAGUGAAGAAGGUUUUCGGAUCGUAAAGCUCUGUUGUAAGAGAAGAACGAGUGUGAGGGUGGAAAGUUCACACUGUGACGGUAUCUUACCAGAAAGGGACGGCUAACUACGUGCCAGCCGCCGCAGUAA